rnacentral:rRNA from 1 species
GUGUACGCGAGUCAUUGGGUGAAUAAAACCCAAAGGGGUAAUGAAAGUAAAGAGAUGAGUAUAUAAAGAAAUUUUUUUUUUUAUAUUUCUCUCUUGAGGGAAGAUGGAAAUUUUUAACAACAGCUGUAUUACACCUGUUGUUUAUUUAUAAUUUCUCGCAUUCCCAGGGCGCUUGUGAAACGCUUUGCGUUGCAAUGCGCACCUAGAGCGUACACGCUGAAACCCGAAAGAUGGUGAACUAUGCCUGGCCAGGACGAAGCCAGGGGAAACCCUGGUGGAGGUCCGCAGCGAUUCUGACGUGCAAAUCGAUCGUCGGAGCUGGGUAUAGGGGCGAAAGACCAAUCGAACCAUCUAGUAGCUGGUUCCCUCUGAAGUUUCCCUCAGGAUAGCUUGCGCUUGAUUAAAAGAGUCUCAUCCGGUAGAGCGAAUGAUUAGAGGCAUUGGGGUCGAAACGACCUCAACCUAUUCUCAAACUCCAAAUAGAUGAGACCCCCGGCUUUCUUAAAAUUGAAGCCGUGGGAAUGGAUCAAAGUGCC